rfam:Myotis davidii contig72876, whole genome shotgun sequence.
CAAAAGGCUCUUUUCAGAGCCACCCACUGAUUUCAGGAAAAAGAG